GCUUCUUUAGCUCAGUUGGUUAGAGCGCCGUGCUAAUAACGCGGAUGUCACAGGUUCGAUCCCUGUAAGGAGCA